rfam:Schistosoma curassoni strain Dakar, Senegal genome assembly, scaffold: SCTD_scaffold0001220
AUCCAGCCGACGAGUUCCAACUAGGACAAAACGCGCGUCAAACUGGAU